rnacentral:tRNA from 1 species
GCCCCUAUAGCUCAACGGAUAGAGUGCCGGUCUUCGAAACCGAAGGUGGAAGUUCGAUUCUUCCUAGGGGCAC